rnacentral:rRNA from 1 species
AUUGAACGCUGGCGGCAGGCCUAACACAUGCAAGUCGAACGGUAACAGGAAACAGCUUGCUGUUUCGCUGACGAGUGGCGGACGGGUGAGUAAUGUCUGGGAAACUGCCUGAUGGAGGGGGAUAACUACUGGAAACGGUAGCUAAUACCGCAUAACGUUGCAAGACCAAAGAGGGGGACCCUCGGGCCUCUUGCCAUCGGAUGUGCCCAGAUGGGAUUAGCUUGUUGGUGGGGUAACGGCUCACCAAGGCGACGAUCCCUAGCUGGUCUGAGAGGAUGACCAGCCACACUGGAACUGAGACACGGUCCAGACUCCUACGGGAGGCAGCAGUGGGGAAUAUUGCACAAUGGGCGCAAGCCUGAUGCAGCCAUGCCGCGUGUAUGAAGAAGGCCUUCGGGUUGUAAAGUACUUUCAGCGGGGAGGAAGGGAGUAAAGUUAAUACCUUUGCUCAUUGACGUUACCCGCAGAAGAAGCACCGGCUAACUCCGUG